GGGAAAUCGCAUCAGAGGUCAUUGGCGUGAAAUCCAAUGUCACCGAAAGCAGGAGCCAUGUUGCUCCAAAAGAGCAAUAUCAAUGAUUAAGGAUGUUGUACAGUUGACGGCGAUGGGCCUAACCUUUGGCUGCAGUUGCUUUUGCUUUCUGGUUAGAAAAAAGUGUCAUUGAUGGUAAUAUGGAGCUAAAUGUAACUUACUACUGUAAGGUUAAAUCUGUGCUACAUUAUGUUCUUUUCCCUUUCUCAUUCACCAGUGAGAUACUUCUAGCCAAAUAUAAAUAUUCUUUUGGGAAAAUUAGUGAAUAGACG
rnacentral:misc_RNA from 1 species